UUCCUUCUAGCUCAGAUAGCAAAGAAUCUGCCUGCAAUGCAGGAGACCCAGGUUCAAUCCCUGGGUUGGGAA
rnacentral:tRNA from 1 species